rnacentral:rRNA from 1 species
AGUGCUACCGGGCGACCGGAUGCGGAUCUCGAAAGCCUGUCCCAGUUCGGACUGGAGUCUGCAACCCGACUCCACGAAGCUGGAUUCGCUAGUAGUCGCGCAUCAGCCAUGGCGCGGUGAAUACGUUCCCGGGCCUUGUACACACCGCCCGUCAAGCCAUGGAAGCCGGGAGUGCCUGAAGUGCGUGAGCGUAAGCAGCGCCCUAAGGUAAAACCGGUGACUGGGGCUAAGUCGUAACAAGGUAGC